rnacentral:rRNA from 1 species
GAUCCUGGCUCAGGAUGAACGCUAGCUACAGGCUUAACACAUGCAAGUCAAGGGGCAGCAUUUUAGUUUGCUUGCAAACUAAAGAUGGCGACCGGCGCACAGGUGAGUAACACGUAUCCAACCUGCCGAUAACUCGGGGAUAGCCUUUCGAAAGAAAGAUUAAUAUCCGAUAGUAUAUUAAAACCGCAUGGUUUUACUAUUAAAGAAUUUCGGUUAUCGAUGGGGAUGCGUUCCAUUAGUUUGUUGGCGGGUAACGG